rnacentral:rRNA from 1 species
UACGGAGGGUGCAAGCGUUAAUCGGAAUUACUGGGCGUAAAGGGCGCGUAGGCGGCCUGUUAAGUCGAACGUGAAAUCCCCGGGCUCAACCCGGGAACUGCGUCCGAUACUGGCAGGCUUGAAUCCGGGAGAGGGAUGCGGAAUUCCAGGUGUAGCGGUGAAAUGCGUAGAUAUCUGGAGGAACACCGGUGGCGAAGGCGGCAUCCUGGACCGGCAUUGACGCUGAGGCGCGAAAGCCAGGGGAGCAAACGGG